rnacentral:rRNA from 1 species
GACGAACGCUGGCGGCAUGCCUAAUACAUGCAAGUCGUGCGAAUUGACGAAGUACUUGUACUUCUGACGUUAGCGGCGGACGGGUGAGUAACACGUAAGGAAUCUACCUAUAAGCGAGGGAUAACAUUCGGAAACGGAUGCUAAUACCGCAUAAUACAUAUUUCCGCAUGGAAAUACGUUGAAAGACGGCUCUGCUGUCACUUAUAGAUGACCUUGCGGUGCAGUAGUUAGUUGGUGGGGUAAUGGCCUACCAAGACGAUGAUGCAUAGCCGACCUGAGAGGGUGAUCGGCCACAUUGGGACUGAGACACGGCCCAAACUCCUACGGGAGGCAGCAGUAGGGAAUCUUCCGCAAUGGGCGAAAGCCUGACGGAGCAAUGCCGCGUGAGUGAAGAAGGCCUUCGGGUCGUAAAACUCUGUUAUAAGAGAAGAACAAAUUGUAGAGUAACUGCUACAGUCUUGACGGUAUCUUAUCAGAAAGCCACGGCUAACUACGUGCCAGCCGCCGCGGUAACAC